ACACUCCUGCGGGAGGCAGCAGUGAGGAAUAUUGGACAAUGGGUGGAAGCCUGAUCCAGCCAUCCCGCGUGCAGGAAGACGGCCCGAUGGGUUGUAAACUGCUUUUAUCUGGGGAUAAACCUACUUACGUGUAAGUAGCUGAAGGUACCAGAAGAAUAAGCACCGGCUAACUCCGUGCCAGCAGCCGCGGUAAUACGGAGGGUGCAAGCGUUAUCCGGAUUUAUUGGGUUUAAAGGGUCCGUAGGCGGACUGAUAAGUCAGUGGUGAAAUCCGACAGCUUAACUGUCGAACUGCCAUUGAUACUGUUAGUCUUGAGUAAGGUUGAAGUGGCUGGAAUAAGUAGUGUAGCGGUGAAAUGCAUAGAUAUUACUUAGAACACCAAUUGCGAAGGCAGGUCACUAAGUCUUAACUGACGCUGAUGGACGAAAGCGUGGGGAGCGAACAGGAUUAGAAACCCUGGUAGUCCCA
rnacentral:rRNA from 1 species